rnacentral:tRNA from 1 species
GCCUAGUUAGCUUGGUUGGUAGCGCGUCUGCCUCGUAAGCGCUAGGCCGCGGGUUCGAUUCCCGUCCGGGGCU